CCAGACAGCACAUGUACGUCUGGCCGACGUCGGCCCAAUAUCGAAACGUCGGCCUCUAUACCUAAAACAUCUAUAAAACAUCGGCCUGGCGGAUGCCGAUAUAAUUUGGUCAGUGCUCUGUUCUCCAGCUCUUCAAUCGUCGGCCCUGAGUUGGUUCACGACCGCGGGCCGAUACCGCGCUUAUCUGUGUGCGCGUGCCCAGUUAUUCAUCUCUUUUAACCACCCAGAGAGAGAGAAGAGGAUAAUCCCAGCGACAUUUGUGGCUCUCAGGCUUCCAGAAAUAAUCCGGUGAAAUAAUAUGAUGUUUGUUUGUGUAAAUGCUGUGUGCGCGUUGAGUCCUGCGCGAGCGGGGAGCAGAGUUGCCAUGGAAACGGGGCAUCAACACAAAAACCGUUACUGACAAGCAGUAAUCUCAGUCUCUUGCUGCAGUUUACACUGUUUUAGGUUUGGCCUGAUUGAAGAUGCCAUCGUCCAUCGCCGAUGGCUGAUAGACAUCACGAUGCUGCGCCGGACACAGCGUCAUCAGCUCCAGUAUCUCGCCCGUGCAUCUGUUGUCAUGCAACAGAGAAGUCACGUUCUAUAGACAGUUUCUAUAGACAGUUGUGAGGGUGCUGACAGCUGGUUGCCUAGGCUAUGGAUUAAAGGGCCAGAAGAGAAGGCCCUGCUGCCCUUGUCAGCCCACCGCUGCUGUCAGACAACAUCUCCAAGAUGCUAUAAACUGCAGGACUAGAUGUCAAUCCCAAGGUUUCUAGAGAUUACACCAGGAUUCAAACUGAAUCCAAACUCACUUGUGAUGACUUCAGAUGACACCAACGCUCACAAAGACUACAGACAACAACUGUACAUGAACACACAAAACAUUUGAAACACAAAUCAAAUAUUAUCCUUAUUUUGCCUAUAAGGGUAAAUUUGAUUAUUUUCAACCUGCUUUACUGUAACUUCUCUUAUAUCUGUAAAUGAACAAUAUUUACUGAGUUAUGUGGACCUACAUGUCCCCUUUUAUUUUGUAAGCAUCACUCUGCAGGAUCAUGCAAAAUGAAAUGACGAGUUUUGACGAAAUGACACAAUGCAGCAUCUAAAUGAAAACAUGCUGUUUUGUAUCAGUUUUGCAAAUAAACGGUAUCUUGGAGAAAGAAUAAAUUGUUAUUUUACAAAUGUUACAAACAAUAUAACAAAAUACAAAAUGGAUUGCAUUUUUUUUACUUACCCUUUAAAAAUGUUGAA